rnacentral:rRNA from 1 species
AGAGUUUGAUCCUGGCUCAGGAUGAACGCUGGCGGCGUGCCUAAUACAUGCAAGUCGAGCGAACUGACGAGGAGCUUGCUCCUUUGACGUUAGCGGCGGACGGGUGAGUAACACGUGGGUAACCUACCUAUAAGACUGGAAUAACUCCGGGAAACCGGGGCUAAUGCCGGAUAACAUAUCGAACCGCAUGGUUCGAUAGUGAAAGACGGUCUUGCUGUCACUUAUAGAUGGACCCGCGCCGUAUUAGCUAGUUGGUGAGGUAACGGCUCACCAAGGCAACGAUACGUAGCCGACCUGAGAGGGUGAUCGGCCACACUGGAACUGAGACACGGUCCAGACUCCUACGGGAGGCAGCAGUAGGGAAUCUUCCGCAAUGGGCGAAAGCCUGACGGAGCAACGCCGCGUGAGUGAUGAAGGUCUUCGGAUCGUAAAGCUCUGUUGUUAGGGAAGAACAAAUGUGUAAGUAACUGUGCACAUCUUGACGGUACCUAACCAGAAAGCCACGGCUAACUACGUGCCAGCAGCCGCGGUAAUACGUAGGUGGCAAGCGUUAUCCGGAAUUAUUGGGCGUAAAGCGCGCGUAGGCGGUUUUUUAAGUCUGAUGUGAAAGCCCACGGCUCAACCGUGGAGGGUCAUUGGAAACUGGAAAACUUGAGUGCAGAAGAGGAAAGUGGAAUUCCAUGUGUAGCGGUGAAAUGCGCAGAGAUAUGGAGGAACACCAGUGGCGAAGGCGGCUUUCUGGUCUGUAACUGACGCUGAUGUGCGAAAGCGUGGGGAUCAAACAGGAUUAGAUACCCUGGUAGUCCACGCCGUAAACGAUGAGUGCUAAGUGUUAGGGGGUUUCCGCCCCUUAGUGCUGCAGCUAACGCAUUAAGCACUCCGCCUGGGGAGUACGGUCGCAAGACUGAAACUCAAAGGAAUUGACGGGGACCCGCACAAGCGGUGGAGCAUGUGGUUUAAUUCGAAGCAACGCGAAGAACCUUACCAAAUCUUGACAUCUUUUGACCACUCUAGAGAUAGAGUUUUCCUCUUCGGAGGACAAAAUGACAGGUGGUGCAUGGUUGUCGUCAGCUCGUGUCGUGAGAUGUUGGGUUAAGUCCCGCAACGAGCGCAACCCUUG